rnacentral:rRNA from 1 species
GACGAACGCUGGCGGCGUGCUUAACACAUGCAAGUCGAACGGAAAGGCCCUGCCUGCAGGGUACUCGAGUGGCGAACGGGUGAGUAACACGUGGGUGAACUGCCCUGCACUUCGGGGUAAGCCUGGGAAACUGGGUCUAAUACCGGAUAGGAGCCAUCUUUAGUGUGAUGGUUGGAAAGUUUCUUCGGUGUAGGCUGAGCUGGCGGCCUAUCAGCUUGUUGGUGGGGUAAUGGCCUACCAAGGCGGCGACGGGUAGCGGGCCUGGGUGGGGGGCGGGCCACAUGGGGAUGAGAGGACGCCCAGGCGCCUUACGGGAGGCAGAGGGGGGGAAUAUGGAAAAAGGGCCGGAGGCUGGAUCAAGGACGCCCGGGGGGGGGAUACCGCCUUUGGGGUGGAAAAACGUUUCGCUCUGGGAGGAGCCGUUUGUGACGGUACCGAGAAAAGAAGCACCGGCUAACUACGUG